rfam:Hordeum vulgare subsp. vulgare, WGS project CAJW01000000 data, contig: morex_contig_1360013
AGGAGCUGGAUGAGAAGAAACUCUCAUGUCCAGUUUUCGAGUAGAGAUGGAACUAAGAAAGAGAACCAUCGACUAUAAC